AUUGGGUAGGGGAGCGUUGUAUACGCGGUGAAACAGUAGCGCAAGCGGCUGUGGAGUGUAUAGAAGUGAGAAUGCCGGAAUGAGUAGCGCGAAUGCAGUGAGAAUCUGCAUGGCCGAAAGCCUCAGGUUUCUGGAGGAAGGUUCGUCCGCUCCAGGUUAGUCGGGAGCUAAGGUGAGGCCUAACGGCGUAGCCGAUGCACAGACGGUAGAGAUUCUGUCACCACCAAAAGAGUUAAGCACAGGGACACAUUUGAAGUCUCGGAGCCGGGUGUUGGUUCCGGUAGCGAUCGAGGGAAGUUAGUACCGAAGUCCGGGAUGGAAGAUGGCGAGAAAAGCUGUGUGUAUUUCUGCGGUGCCCGUACCGCAAACCGACACAGGUAGUAGGAAGAAGAUUCUAAGGCCAACGGGAGAAGGGUUGUUAAGGAACUCGGCAAAUUGACCCCGUAACUUCGGGAGAAGGGGUGCUCCAGAGAUGGAGCCGCAGAGAAUCGGCCCAAGCAACUGUUUACCAAAAACACAGGUUUGUGCUAAAUCGAAAGAUGACGUAUACGAGCUGACGCCUGCCCGGUGCUGGAAGGUUAAGAGGAGAUGUGCAAGCACUGAAUCGAAGCCCCAGUGAACGGCGGCCGUAACUAUAACGGUCCUAAGGUAGCGAAAUUCCUUGUCAGGUAAGUUCUGACCCGCAUGAAAGGCGUAAUGAUUUGGGCACUGUCUCGACAGCCCGCCCGGCGAAAUUGUAGUACCGGUGAAGAUGCCGGUUACCCGCGACAAGACGGAAAGACCCCAUGGAGCUUUACUGUAGCCUAAUAUUGGGUUUCGAUGUUGCAUGCACAGGAUAGAUGGGACACAGGGAAACAAGUGCUUUGGCAUUUGUGGAGUGGCCGUUGGGAUACCAUCCUUGCGAUAUUGGAAUUCUAACCUGCGCCUUUGAAUCAAGGCGGGGGACAUUGUUAGGUGGGCAGUUUGACUGGGGCGGUCGCCUCCUAAAGAGUAACGGAGGCGUUCAAAGGUUCGCUCAGCUUGAACGGAAAUCAAGCAAAAGAGUGCAAACGCAGAAGCGAGCCUAACUGCGAGACUGACGGGUCGAGCAGUAACGAAAGUUGGAGUUAGUGAUCCGGUGGUAUGUGAGUGGAAAUGCCAUCGCUCAACGGAUAAAAGUUACCCUGGGGAUAACAGGCUGAUCUCCCCCAAGAGUCCACAUUGACGGGGAGGUUUGGCACCUCGAUGUCGGCUCAUCGCAUCCUGGGGCUGUAUUCGGUCCCAAGGGUUUGGCUGUUCGCCAAUUAAAGCGGUACGCGAGCUGGGUUCAGAACGUCGUGAGACAGUUCGGUCCCUAUCUGUCGUGGGCGCAGGAUAUUUGAUGGGAGCUGUUCCUAGUACGAGAGGACCGGAGCGGACGUACCUCUGGCGCACCAGUUGUUCUGCCAAGGGCAUAGCUGGGCAACUAUGUACGGAUCGGAUAAACGCUGAAAGCAUCUAAGCGUGAAGCCGACCCAAAGAUAAGAUAUCCCAUUGUUUCAAACAAGUAAGACCCCAUGAAGACUACAAGGUUGAUAGGCAUGAUGUGUAAGUGGAGUGAUCCAUUCAGCAAGCGUGUACUAAUAGGUCGAGGGCUUGACC
rnacentral:rRNA from 1 species